rnacentral:rRNA from 1 species
UGGGGAAUAUUGGACAAUGGGCGAAAGCCUGAUCCAGCCAUGCCGCGUGUGUGAAGAAGGUCUUCGGAUUGUAAAGCACUUUAAGUUGGGAGGAAGGGCAGUAAGCGAAUACCUUGCUGUUUUGACGUUACCGACAGAAUAAGCACCGGCUAACUCUGUGCCAGCAGCCGCGGUAAUACAGAGGGUGCAAGCGUUAAUCGGAAUUACUGGGCGUAAAGCGCGCGUAGGUGGUUCGUUAAGUUGAAUGUGAAAGCCCCGGGCUCAACCUGGGAACUGCAUCCAAAACUGGCGAGCUAGAGUAGGGCAGAGGGUGGUGGAAUUUCCUGUGUAGCGGUGAAAUGUGUAGAUAUAGGAAGGAACACCAGUGGCGAAGGCGACCACCUGGGCUCAUACUGACACUGAGGUGCGAAAGCGUGGGGAGCAAACAGG